AUUGAACGCUGGCGGCAUGCCUUACACAUGCAAGUCGAACGGCAGCACGGGAGCAAUCCUGGUGGCGAGUGGCGAACGGGUGAGUAAUGUAUCGGAACGUGCCCAGUCGUGGGGGAUAACGUAGCGAAAGUUACGCUAAUACCGCAUACGAUCUAUGGAUGAAAGCGGGGGAUCGCAAGACCUCGCGCGAUUGGAGCGGCGGAUAUUGGAUUAGGUAGUUGUUGGGGUAAAAGCUUACCAAGCCUACGAUCUGUAGCGGGUCUGAGAGGACGACCAGCCACACUGGGACUGAGACACGGCCCAGACUCCUACGGGAGGCAGCAGUGGGGAAUUUUGGACAAUGGGCGCAAGCCUGAUCCAGCCAUGCCGCGUGCAGGAUGAAGGCCUUCGGGUUGUAAACUGCUUUUGUACGGAACGAAAAGGCCUUUUUUAAUACAGAGGGCUAAUGACGGUACCGUAAGAAUAAGCACCGGCUAACUACGUGCCAGCCGCCGCGGUAACAC
rnacentral:rRNA from 1 species